CUAGCAAGCACCGGCUAACUCUGUGCCAGCAGCCGCGGUAAGACAGAGGGUGCAAACGUUGCUCGGAAUCACUGGGCGUAAAGGGCGUGUAGGCGGGCAGGUAAGUCGGGCGUGAAAGCCCUGGGCUCAACCCAGGAACUGCACUCGAAACUACUUGUCUUGAGUACCGGAGAGGAAAGCGGAAUACCUGGUGUAGAGGUGAAAUUCGUAGAUAUCACGUGGAACACCAGUGGCGAAGGCGGCUUUCUGGACGGUAACUGACGCUGAGACGCGAAAGCGUGGGGAGCAAACAGGGUUAGAUACCCUGGUAGUCCACGCUGUAAACGAUGAGUGCUAGGUGUCGUGGGUAUUGACCCCCGCGGUGCCGUAGCUAACGCAUUAUGCACUCCGCCUGGGAAGUACGGUCGCAAGACUAAAACUCAAAGGAAUUGACGGGGGCCCGCACAAGCGGUGGAGCAUGUGGUUUAAUUCGACGCAACGCGCAGAACUUUACCUGGGCUGGAAAGUGGAUGGAAGUCUGGUGAAAGCCGGAUUUGCCCGCAAGGGAGCCAUCUGACAGGUGCUGCAUGGCUGUCGUCAGCUCGUGUCGUGAGAUGUUGGGUUAAGUCCCGCAACAAGCGCAACCCCUAUCCGUUAGUUGCUAACCAGUUCGGGCUGAGCACUCUAACGAGACUGCCGGCGUCAAGCCGGAGGAAGGUGGGGACGACGUCAAGUCCUUCAUGGGCCCUUAUGUCCAGGGGCUACACCACGUGCUACAAAGGGUGCAUACAGAUUCGCAGCGAGCUCGCGAGAGUAAGCUAAUCGCAAAGAGUGCACCUCAGUACAGAUUGCACUCUGCAACUCGAGUGCAUGAAGUCGGAAUCGCUAGUAAUCGCUGAUCAGCAGGCAGCGGUGAAUACGUUCCCGGGCCUUGUACACACCGCCCGUCACACCAUGGGAGUUGAUUGCUCCAGAAGUGGCUACGCUAACCCGCAAGGGAAGCAGGUCCCCAAGGAGUGGUUGAUGACUGGGGUGAAGUCGUAACAAGGUAGCCUUAGGGGAACCUGCGGCUGGAUCACCUCCUUUGU
rnacentral:rRNA from 1 species